AUUGAACGCUGGCGGCAGGCUUAACACAUGCAAGUCGAGCGAGCGGCGGACGGGUGAGUAAUGUCUGGGAAACUGCCUGAUGGAGGGGGAUAACUAAUGGAAACGGUAGCUACUACCGCAUACCACCAGAUGUGACCAGAUGGGAUUGGCUAGUAGGGGGGGUAAUGGCGCACCUAGGAGACGAUCCCUAGCUGGUCUGAGAGGCUGACCAGCCACACUGGAACUGAGACACGGUCCAGACUCCUACGGGAGGCAGGAGUGGGGAAUAUUGCACAAUGGGGGGAAGCCUGAUGCAGCCAUGCCGCGUGUGUGAAGAAGGCCUUCGGGUUGUAAAGCACUUUCAGCGAGGAGGCGUUACUCGCAGAAGAAGCACCGGCUAACUCCGUGCCAGCAGCCGCGGUAAUUC
rnacentral:rRNA from 1 species